UACGUAGGUGGCAAGCGUUGUCCGGAAUUAUUGGGCGUAGAGCGCGCGCAGGCGGCCUUUUAAGUCUGAUGUGAAAGCCCACGGCUCAACCGUGGAAGGUCAUUGGAAACUGAAAGGCUUGAGUACAGAAGAGGAAAGCGGAAUUCCACGUGUAGCGGUGAAAUGCGUAGAGAUGUGGAGGAACACCAGUGGCGAAGGCGGCUUUCUGGUCUGUAACUGACGCUGAGGCGCGAAAGCGUGGGGAGCAAACAGG
rnacentral:rRNA from 1 species